GGGGUUGUAGCUCAUUGGUAGAGCACUUGCCUAGCACGUGUGAGGCCCUGGGUUCGAUCCUCAGCACCA
rnacentral:tRNA from 1 species